CUACGGGCUGCUGCAGUCGAGAAUAUUUCCCAAUGGGCGAAAGCCUGAGGAUGCGACGCCGCGUGGGGGAUGAAGGUCUUCGGAUUGUAAACCCCUUUUAUUAAGGAGGAAGCCCAACACUUUGAAUAAGGGUGUUGGGUAGACUGUACUUGAUGAAUAAGUCACGGCUAACUCCGUGCCAGCAGCCGCGGUAAUACGGAGGUGGCAAGCGUUACUCGGUUUGACUGGGUGUAAAGGGUUCGCAGGCGGCCAGGCAAGUGAAAGGUGAAAUCCUUCGGCUUAACCGAAGAAUUGCCUUUCAAACUGCUUGGCUUGAGGCUGGAAGAGGAGAGUGGAACUGCCAGUGUAAGGGUGAAAUCUGUGGAUAUUGGCAGGAAUGCCUGUGGUGUAGACGACUCUCCGGUCCAGACCUGACGCUCAGGGACGAAAGCUAAGGGAGCGAACAGGAUUAGAUACCCGGGUAGUC
rnacentral:rRNA from 1 species